UUUUGCAACAGCUGGAGGCACCCUGCUUGGGAAACACUGCUUUAUGCAUUAAUCAAGUAUUUGCCUCUUGACAAAAAAAAGUUGUAAAAAAUUAUCUUAUGGAUCUAAGACACCUAUUUGGCCACCAGUGAGCUGCCAUAUUGGCUGUCGCCCGGCAGGACAGGAUACACUUGCAGCCAAUACCAGCUGUCACCUACCAGGACAUGUGACUGACAUUGGUUGCCACCCAGCUUUCCCAUGGACCUGAAUGAAAUAUCUGCCUAGUUAAGCAAUCAUUGUGUAAUUUGGAAGAUUCGCCCCCAACUUGCCCCUAUUGUGGAAGGAGUUAAUCCAGCAGUUCUUUAGCCCCUUAUUGCUGAACAUCUUUGUCACGUCGUAUGACGCGGAGCCGGCGGCAACAAUAAAGGAACCGUAUCGGGAGAGGACCAAGAGGUCAUUACCUUGAAGAUCUCCAGCUCAUCUGUUUAAGUUUUACAGCUUAUUCAUCAUCUUUAUCGGUCUACAACUUGACGUUCUUGAAGACACCGCCACCAUGAGACAACU